GGGGAUGUGGCUCAGUGACAGAGUGCUUGCCUGGAAAGCAUGAGGCCCUGGGUUCAAUCCCAGGCACCA
rnacentral:tRNA from 1 species